UACAGAGGGGGCAAGCGUUAGUUCGGAAUUAUUGGGCGUAAAAGGGCGCGUAGGCGGCCUGGCAAGUGGAAGGUGAAAUCCCUCGGCUUAACCGAGGAACUGCCUCCCAAACUGCUUGGCUUGAGACCAGGAGAGGUGAGUGGAAUUCCCAGUGUAGCGGUGAAAUGCGUAGAUAUUGGGAGGAACACCAGUGGCGAAGGCGGCUCACUGGACUGGUACUGACGCUGAGGCACGAAGGCCAGGGGAGCAAACGGG
rnacentral:rRNA from 1 species